AACGAACGCCGGCGGCACGCCUAACACAUGCAAGUCGCACGAGAAAGUCCCCGCAAGGGGACCGGUAAAGUGGCAGACGGGUGAGUAACGCGUGGGUAACCUACCCUCGAGUGGGGGAUAACCCCGCGAAAGCGGGGCUAAUACCGCAUAACAUCCCGGAACGCGAGUUUCGGGAUCGAAGGUGGCUCGCAAGAGCUACCGCUCGGGGAGGGGCUCACGUUCCAUCAGCUAGUUGGUGGGGUAACGGCCUACCAAGGCGGNGACGGAUAGCUGGUCUGAGAGGACGACCAGCCACACUGGCACUGAGACACGGGCCAGACUCCUACGGGAGGCAGCAGUGAGGAAUCUUGCGCAAUGG
rnacentral:rRNA from 1 species